CUCGGAGGGUCAGGAAAAAACCCAACAAGCUCCCCUAGGAGCACAAGAGACAACACACAAACAACACAACUCCACCAUAUAUAGCUCAUACCUAGACACUGCCGCUGGCGCAGAAGGGGAAGCAAAACCACAACCAAUAUGGCAAGAGGCAAAAAGUGGGCCACCACGACUUUGGGGGCGGUGGCAGCACGUAACCAUUGUCCUUCGCUGACGAACCACGACUUGUUAUAAAGGCUUCAGUAUAAGCUCUACACUUAAUUAUAUUGUCUUUUAUCCCAUUUAGAGUAAGACAAUAUUUGAAUGCACUUAAAAACUUGAGCCUCCAGCUUCAAAACAGAUCUAUUUACAACUCUCGACCCAAAGGAGGAAUUUGUGUGUCAUGUCAUUAGUCCUUGCCUCAUGAGUUCAUUCUUUAUUUCUCCGGUUUGUUCUGUCUUUCCGUCUGCCUUCUCAUUUCUCUCCAUUUUUCUCUGUCACAUCUCUCCUCUCAUUUUUAGCGCGGCUAUGUGAACCAUUUUGAUGCAGAGGCAAAGACCGGGAUCAACCUCUUUUUUGAAAAAAGAAAAGAAAAAAAUAGCUUGCAACUCGUCUAUCUACCAUAGACCGUGCGUCCAUGCGGCCGCCCAUUUGGUAAAGGGGUUGUAAAAACAACUUGUUUUAGUUUGGAGGUUGAGCAUUAAGCCAGUUGAAGAGUACCGGGGUAAGUCACGAAAGAAAACCUUAAUCUAUUUUGAAGUCUUUAUCGAUCGAGAGCGUCUCUGUUCUGCACGCGAGCCCUCUUUAUAUCGGCGUAGGUGGGUAACGGUGGAUUUUCUUUACCGAGGAGAGAGUUCAGAGGAGUAGAGAAAAAGACGUUCUGCUCGUAGGCGCAGCAGAUCAUAAGUGAUGGGGCUGGCUGGCGACGAGAGCAGCUGAUCGAGUGCACCCAUGGAUCAGGGAGCAACCUUAUAUUUAGAAAAAACAAGGUCCAGUCACAUCCAUGUAGCCACAAGGGCCCCUGUCUGAGGGAGAGAUGAGACGAGACAGUGAAAAUUAAUACUCCUAUAUA
rnacentral:lncRNA from 1 species